rnacentral:rRNA from 1 species
UAGGGAAUAUUGCACAAUGGGGGAAACCCUGAUGCAGCAACGCCGCGUGAACGAAGAAGGAUUUCGGUCUGUAAAGUUCUUUUGCUAGGAAAGAUAAUGACGGUACCUAGCGAAUAAGCACCGGCUAACUACGUGCCAGCAGCCGCGGUAAUACGUAGGGUGCAAGCGUUAUCCGGAAUUACUGGGCGUAAAGGGUGCGUAGGCGGCAUGGCAAGUCAGGAGUGAAAGGCAAUAGCUCAACUAUUGUUAGCUUUUGAAACUGCCAAGCUUGAAUCCGGGAGAGGCAAAUGGAAUUCCUAGUGUAGCGGUGAAAUGCGUAGAUAUUAGGAGGAACACCGGUGGCGAAGGCGAUUUGCUGGACCGAGAUUGACGCUGAGGCACGAAAGCGUGGGGAGCGAACA